GUGUGGGGGCUCGGUUUGUGGGUAAGGCAGCGACAGUGUUGAGGCAGGGAGAGACGCGCUACCUUCUAACUAUGGCGUCCGGCGACCAGGGCACCACUCAGGCGACAAGGCGCGCCAUGAGUGAGGAGGAGAAUAUGGGGUAUCGCGUGGAACUCUUCAUCUAUGACCUCAGUCGCGGCAUUGCCAAGACCAUGUCGCCGACGCUGUUAGGCAAGCAGAUCGAAGGCAUAUGGCACACGGGAGUCGUGGCCUACGGAAGGGAGUACUUCUACGGCUCCAGCGGCAUCGCGUCGUGCAGGCCGGUGAGUGUGCUCUUUGUCCUUUGUUCUCCCGUGCAUCAUCAUCGUCAUCAUCAUCGUCAUCG